rnacentral:tRNA from 1 species
GCGCCCGUGGCCUAAUGGAUAAGGCGUUUGACUUCUAAUCAAACGAUUGUGUGUUCGAGUCCCACCGGGCGUG